rnacentral:rRNA from 1 species
GGUGAGUAACACGUGGAUAACCUACCUAUAAGACUGGGAUAACUUCGGGAAACCGGAGCUAAUACCGGAUAAUAUUUUGAACCGCAUGGUUCAAAAGUGAAAGACGGUCUUGCUGUCACUUAUAGAUGGAUCCGCGCUGCAUUAGCUAGUUGGUAAGGUAACGGCUACCAAGGCAACGAUGCAUAGCCGACCUGAGAGGGUGAUCGGCCACACUGGAACUGAGACACGGUCCAG